GAGUUUGAUCCUGGCUCAGAACGAACGCUGGCGGCGUGCUUAACACAUGCAAGUCAGGGAGAAAGUCUCUUCGGGGAUGAUUAAACCGGCGCGCGGGUGAGUAACACGUGAGUGACCUGCCUUUUAGACUGGAACAACUUACCGAAAGGUGAGCUAAUGCCGGAUGAGUUAUAUAAGUGCAUGUUUAUAUAGGAAAAGUUGGGGAGACCUGACGCUGAAAGAUGGACUCGCGUCCCAUUAGCUAGUUGGUAGGGUAAUGGCCUACCAAGGCGACGAUGGGUAGCCGGCCUGAGAGGGUGGCCGGCCACACUGGGACUGAGACACGGCCCAGACUCCUACGGGAGGCAGCAGUGGGGAAUUUUGCGCAAUGCUCGUAAGAGUGACGCAGCGACGCCGCGUGAAUGACGAAGGCCUUCGGGUCGUAAAGUUCUUUCGACAGGGAAGAAAAUGCCUAUAAGUAACUGUGUAUGUAUUGACGGUACCUGUAUAAGCAGCCCCGGCUAACUCCGUGCCAGCAGCCGCGGUAAUACGGAGGGGGCGAGCGUUGUUCGGAGUGACUGGGCG
rnacentral:rRNA from 1 species